AACGAACGCUGGCGGCAUGCCUAACACAUGCAAGUCGAACGAGACCUUCGGGUCUAGUGGCGCACGGGUGCGUAACGCGUGGGAACCUGCCCUUAGGUUCGGAAUAACUCCCCGAAAGGGGUGCUAAUACCGGAUAAUGUCUUCGGACCAAAGAUUUAUCGCCUUUGGAUGGGCCCGCGUUGGAUUAGCUAGUUGGUAGGGUAAAAGCCUACCAAGGCGACGAUCCAUAGCUGGUCUGAGAGGAUGAUCAGCCACACUGGGACUGAGACACGGCCCAGACUCCUACGGGAAGCAGCAGUGGGGAAUAUUGGACAAUGGGCGAAAGCCUGAUCCAGCAAUGCCGCGUGAGUGAUGAAGGCCUUAGGGUUGUAAAGCUCUUUUACCCGGGAUGAUAAUAACAGUACCGGGAGAAUAAGCUCCGGCUAACUCCGUG
rnacentral:rRNA from 1 species